rfam:Pterocles gutturalis contig69078, whole genome shotgun sequence.
ACAAAGGCUCUUUUGAGAGCCACCCACAUAUUGCACAGUGAGAGCU